AUGGCUCAGAUUGAACGCUGGCGGCGUGCUUAACACAUGCAAGUCGAACGCGAAAGGGACUUCGGUCCUGAGUAAAGUGGCGCACGGGUGAGUAACGCGUGGAUAAUCUGCCCUUAUGAUCGGGAUAACAGUUGGAAACGGCUGCUAAUACCGGAUACGCUCAAAAUGAACUUUUUUGGGGAAAGAUGGCCUCUGCUUGCAUGCUAUCACGUAAGGAUGAGUCCGCGUCCCAUUAGCUUGUUGGCGGGGUAACGGCCCACCAAGGCAACGAUGGGUAGCCGAUUUGAGAGGAUGAUCGGCCACACUGGAACUGAAACACGGUCCAGACUCCUACGGGAGGCAGCAGUGGGGAAUAUUGCGCAAUGGGCGAAAGCCUGACGCAGCGACGCCGCGUGAGGGAUGAAGGUUUUCGGAUCGUAAACCUCUGUCAGAAGGGAAGAAACUACGUUGUGCUAAUCAGCAGCGUACUGACGGUACCUUCAAAGGAAGCACCGGCUAACUCCGUGCCAGCCGCUGC
rnacentral:rRNA from 1 species